rnacentral:rRNA from 1 species
AAGUCGAGCGCGGGAAGCGAGCUGAAGCCCUUCGGGGCGGACGCUCGUGGAACGAGCGGCGGACGGGUGAGUAACACGUGGGCAACCUGCCUGUAAGACCGGAAUAACCCCGGGAAACCGGGGCUAAUGCCGGAUAACCCAACGGUUCUCCUGAACCGAUGGUAAAAGGAUGGCUUCUUGCUAUCGCUUACAGAUGGGCCCGCGGCGCAUUAACUGGUUGGUGAGGUAACGGCUCACCAAGGGGACCAUGCGUAACCGACCUGAAAGGGUGAUCGGCCACACUGGGACUGAAACACGGCCCAAACUCCUACGGGAGGCAGCAGUAGGGAAUCUUCCGCAAUGGACGAAAGUCUGACGGAACAACGCCGCGUGAAUGAUGAAGGUCUUCGGAUCGUAAAAUUCUGUUGUGAGGGAAGAACAAGGAUCGUGCGAACAGAACGGUCCCUUGACGGGACCUCCCGAGGAAGCCCCGGCUAACUACCUGCCAGCAGCCGCGGUAAUACCUAGGGGGCAAGCGUUGUCCGGAAUUAUUGGGCGUAAAGGGCACGCAGGCGGUUCCUUAAGUCUGAUGUGAAAGCCCGUGGCUCAACCACGGAUGGCCAUUGGAAACUGGGGAACUUGAGAACUGAAGAGGAGAGUGGAAUUCCACGUGUAGCGGUGAAAUGCGUAGAUAUGUGGAGGAACACCAGUGGCGAAGGCGACUCUCUGGUCGGUUUCUGACGCUGAAGUGCGAAAGCGUGGGUAGCAAACAGGAUUAGAUACCCUGGUAGUCCACGCCCGUAAACGCUGAGUGCUAGUGUUAGGGGGCUUCCACCCCUUAGUGCCUGAAGUUAACGCAUUAAGCACUCCCGCCUUGGGGAGUACGGCCGCCAAGGCUGAAACUCAAAGGAAUUGACGGGGGCCCGCACAAGCGUGGAGCAUGUGGUUUAAUUCGAAGCAACGCGAAGAAGCUUACCAGUCUUGACAUCCUUGGCUACUUCAGAGAUGGAAGUUCCCU